rnacentral:rRNA from 1 species
UGGAUUAGGCAUGCAAGUCGCGCGAUCCGUCACCGCAAGGUGACGAGAUAGCGGCAAACGGGUGAGUAACAGGUGAGUAAUCCGCCCUUAAGACAACGAUAGCACCGUGAAAACGGUGGUAAUCUUUGAUAGCAUCGAAGCGGCGCAUGUCGCUUUGAUUAAAGCCGGGGACCGUAAGGCCUGGCGCUUAAGGAUGAGCUCGCCUCCUAUCAGCUUGUUGGCGGGGUAACGGCCCACCAAGGCUUUUGACGGGUAGCUGGUCUAAGAGGAUGGUCAGCCACACUGGGACUGAGACACUGCCCAGACUCCUACGGGAGGCUGCAGUCGAGAAUCUUUAGCAAUGGACGAAAGUCUGACUAUGCGACGCCGCGUGAGGGAUGAAGGUCUUCGGAUCGUAAAGCCUC